UACGUAGGGUGCGAGCGUUGUCCGGAAUUAUUGGGCGUAAAGGGCUCGUAGGCGGUCUGUCACGUCGGGAGUGAAAACUCGGGGCUUAACUCCGAGCCUGCUUCUGAUAGGGGCAGACUAGAGGUAUGCAGGGGAGAAUGGAAUUCCUGGUGUAGCGGUGAAAUGCGCAGAUAUCAGGAGGAACACCGGUGGCGAAGGCGGUUCUCUGGGCAUGUCCUGACGCUGAGGAGCGAAAGUGUGGGGAGCGAACAGG
rnacentral:rRNA from 1 species